UACAGAGGUCUCAAGCGUUGUUCGGAUUCAUUGGGCGUAAAGGGUGCGUAGGCGGCGCGGUAAGUCGGGUGUGAAAUCUCGGAGCUUAACUCCGAAACUGCAUUCGAUACUGCCGUGCUUGAGGACUGGAGAGGAGACUGGAAUUUACGGUGUAGCGGUGAAAUGCGUAGAUAUCGAGAGGAACACCUGCGGCGAAGGCGGGUUGCUGGGCUGACACUGACGCUGAGGCGCGAAAGCUAGGGGAGCGAACGGG
rnacentral:rRNA from 1 species